rnacentral:rRNA from 1 species
UACGGAGGGUGCAAGCGUUAUCCGGAUUCACUGGGUUUAAAGGGUGCGUAGGCGGGCAGGUAAGUCCGUGGUGAAAUCUCUGAGCUUAACUCAGAAACUGCCAUGGAUACUAUUUGUCUUGAAUAUUGUGGAGGUAAGCGGAAUAUGUCAUGUAGCGGUGAAAUGCUUAGAUAUACAUAGAACACCAAUUGCGAAGGCAGCUUACUACACAGUUAUUGACGCUGAGGCACGAAAGCGUGGGGAGUCAAACAGGA